rnacentral:lncRNA from 1 species
AGAACUUUCCAACCCUGUGGUUUCACCUAAAAUUUUGUCUGACUAAUUGUUACUUACUGCCCAGGUACCAACUGUUACUGUAGUAUCUCCAUCUUAGACUUCAGUCACCUUCUGUCUACAGUGGAUGAACAUACCAUCCAGCCCCCCUACAACACUGCUUGCUACUUUCCUCUGCAGUACAGGGUCCUCGACCUUGUUUCUCACUGGCUACUAAUAUGUAAUGCCUAUCACUCUGUGCUGAUAUGUGACAAUCACCUUGUUGGCCUUCUGUGUCCUGGAAGAAUUGUAGCCACUACCUUAAAGAGCUCAGAUCCUCAGUUUGCAGAAGGCCUGUAAUUGAACAUAAAAUGAUUUUGAAACAUUGCGAAGACUUUCUACUUCUCUUGAGGCAGUGGUUGAACUCAUACUCUCGGACAACCUGCUCAAGAGGGAGACUCUCAGGUGUUAAAUGCUGACUUAAUGUGGAUUGUUGAAGCAGUGCUGUUUACUACUAGCAGUGACACUUCAUUGGAAUUGUUCUCAGCUUUGAGAUGCACCAUUGACUGGAGCCAUAAUAGCCCAAUGGAGCCAGGGCUGUUAAGUGUGUUCCUUCUGAAUGUUAUCAGCUGGAGGUCCAUACUAUCUUCAAGGAUUUGAUGGCCUUUAAAAACUAAAGAAAAAAAAAAACAGGUUUGUGGGUAAUUUUAGGUUUAUUUUACAGUUCGUAUUGGGCAAGAAUGGAAUGUUAGAAAUCUGUAAUAUUGUGUGAUAACAGUAAAGCUUACCUCAAAGGACCUCAUACUAUUUGGGCAUCUGGGUGGUCAUGGUUUUCCUUCUCCAUAGUAUAUAUAAGCAUGUUGCAGAAACUUGAUCCCCUUGCCCCCCAGCAAGUGGAAAUAGAGACAGUAUAUUUCUUUAUGUGAGUGACUAUAGACCUCCCGCCUCUUAUAUGUCCUUGUAAAUACCAGCGACUGUAGGACCUUCAUACUUUUGUUAAGAAAGUUGUAAGCUGGGCUGGAGAUGUGGCUCAAGCGGUAGCGCGCUCGCCUGGCAUGUGUGCAGCCCGGGUUCGAUCCUCAGCACCACAUACAAAACAAAGAUGUUGUAUCCGCCGAUAACUAAAAAAUAA